rnacentral:rRNA from 1 species
UCUUCCGCAAUGGACGAACGUCUGACGGAACAACGCCGCGUGAGUGAUGAAGGUUUUCUGAUCGUCAAGCUCUGUUGUUAGGGAAGAACAAGUGCCGUUCAAAUAGGGCGGCGCCUUGACGGUACCUAACCAGAAAGCCACGGCUCACUACAUGCCAGCCGCCGCGGUAAUACGUAGGUGGCAAGCGUUGUCCGGAAUUAUUGGGCGUAAAGGGCUCGCAGGCGGUUUCUUAAGUCUGAUGUGAAAGCCCCCGGCUCAACCGGGGAGGGUCAUUGGAAACUGGGGAACUUGAGUGCAGAAGAGGAGAGUGGAAUUCCACGUGUAGCGGUGAAAUGCGUAGAGAUGUGGAGGAACACCAGUGGCGAAGGCGACUCUCUGGUCUGUAACUGACGCUGAGGAGCGAAAGCGUGGGGAGCGAACAG